rfam:Virgibacillus massiliensis genome assembly, contig: 000001
CGGUGAGGUAGAGGUGCAAUAGAUAUGAGUACUCAGUCGGAGGAUGACAACUAGGAUGAUGGAGGAAAGGAUUUACUGCCGAAGUACAAUAGGUGUCAGGCUUAUUGUUACUGGUAUGCUUUUGAAUAAGAAGUAUACUGUCAUGCAAAGAAGUCGCAUGGAGAACUACUGAUCGA